AAAACGACUCUCGGCAACGGAUAUCUCGGCUCUCGCAUCGAUGAAGAACGUAGCGAAAUGCGAUACUUGGUGUGAAUUGCAGAAUCCCGUGAACCAUCGAGUCUUUGAACGCAAGUUGCGCCCCAAGCCUCCGGGCCGAGGGCACGUCUGCCUGGGUGUCCC
rnacentral:rRNA from 1 species